AGGUACACACUCCGUCACAAGAUAUCUUCAAGAUGUGAUGAAUAAUGUACGAUGUUUCUUUGGAAGGGAUAAUAGUAGAUAAGAUGAAAACAAAAGUGACAUAUAUGAGUUGUCUAGUACAUUUUUGUUUCAUUUCUUACGGUUCCAUUAUGUUGAACAUGUGUUAAACAUGUUAGGGUCUGUUUGGUAGAAUGCAUAAGAAGAAUAAUUAAUAUGGUGUAUUAAUAAUAUUGAGAC
rnacentral:lncRNA from 1 species